rnacentral:hammerhead_ribozyme from 1 species
AUUAUGAUGAGUCCCAAAUAGGACGAAAUGCGCAUCCUGGAU